rnacentral:rRNA from 1 species
GGAAUAUUGCACAAUGGGCGCAAGCCUGAUGCAGCGACGCCGCGUGAGGGAUGACGGCCUUCGGGUUGUAAACCUCUUUCAGUAGGGAAGAAGCGAAAGUGACGGUACCUGCAGAAGAAGCGCCGGCUAACUACGUGCCAGCAGCCGCGGUAAUACGUAGGGCGCAAGCGUUAUCCGGAAUUAUUGGGCGUAAAGAGCUCGUAGGCGGUUUGUCGCGUCUGCCGUGAAAGUCCGGGGCUCAACUCCGGAUCUGCGGUGGGUACGGGCAGACUAGAGUGAUGUAGGGGAGACUGGAAUUCCUGGUGUAGCGGUGAAAUGCGCAGAUAUCAGGAGGAACACCGAUGGCGAAGGCAGGUCUCUGGGCAUUAACUGACGCUGAGGAGCGAAAGCAUGGGGAGCGAACAGGAUUAGAUACCCCAG